rnacentral:rRNA from 1 species
UACGUAGGGCGCAAGCGUUAUCCGGAAUUAUUGGGCGUAAAGAGCUCGUAGGCGGUUUGUCGCGUCUGCCGUGAAAGUCCGGGGCUCAACUCCGGAUCUGCGGUGGGUACGGGCAGACUAGAGUGAUGUAAGGGAGACUGGAAUUCCUGGUGUAGCGGUGAAAUGCGCAGAUAUCAGGAGGAACACCGAUGGCGAAGGCAGGUCUCUGGGCAUUAACUGACGCUGAGGAGCGAAAGCAUGGGGAGCGAACAGG